rnacentral:rRNA from 1 species
ACGGUCUUCGGAUUGUAAACUUCUGUUAAGUGGGAAGAAAAAUCCGUUUCUAAUACAGACGGUAAUGACGGUACCAUUAGAGAAAGCACCGGCUAACUUCGUGC